rnacentral:rRNA from 1 species
UACGGAGGAUCCGAGCGUUAUCCGGAUUUAUUGGGUUUAAAGGGUGCGCAGGCGGGAGAUUAAGUCGGCGGUGAAAUUUUGCAGCUCAACUGUAAAAGUGCCUUCGAAACUGGUUUCCUUGAGUGUGGAUGAAGUAGGCGGAAUUUGUGGUGUAGCGGUGAAAUGCAUAGAUAUCACGAGGAACUCCGAUUGCGCAGGCAGCUUACUAAACCAUAACUGACGCUCAGGCACGAAGGCGUGGGGAUCAAACAGGAUUAGAUACCCGCGU